rnacentral:rRNA from 1 species
AGAGUUUGAUCCUGGCUCAGGACGAACGCUGGCGGCGUGCUUAACACAUGCAAGUCGAACGGAAGGGCCCUGCUUGCAGGGUACUCGAGUGGCGAACGGGUGAGUAACACGUGGGUGAUCUGCCCUGCACUUCGGGAUAAGCCUGGGAAACUGGGUCUAAUACCGGAUAGGAGCCAUUUUUAGUGUGAUGGUUGGAAAGUUUUUUCGGUGUAGGAUGAGCUCGCGGCCUAUCAGCUUGUUGGUGGGGUAAUGGCCUACCAAGGCGGCGACGGGUAGCCGGCCCUGAGAGGGUGGACGGCCACAUUGGGACUGAGAUACGGCCCAGACUCCUACGGGAGGCAGCAGAAGGG